CACUAUGCCUGGCCCUAAACAUUGAUAGCUUUCUACACCAGCUAUCCGCCUGGGAACUACGAGUAGAACUUGAAACCCAAAGGACUUGGCGGUGCUUUAGACCCAUCUAGAGGAGCCUGUCCUAGAACCGAUACUCCCCGUUCAACCUUACCUUUUCUUGCAAAUACAGCCUAUAUACCGCCGUCGUCAGCUUACCCUGUGAAGGUCCCGUAGUAAGCAAAGUUAGUUUUACCCCCACACGUCAGGUCGAGGUGUAGCUUAUGUAAAGGAAAGAGAUGGGCUACAUUUACUAUCUUUAGUAAAUUACGAAUGAUGCCUUGAAACCCGCAUCUGAAGGUGGAUUUAGUAGUAAGCAAAAAGCAGCGUGUUUUGCUGAAACUUGGCUCUGAAGCGCGCACACACCGCCCGUCACUCUCCCCGAAACAAAUUCGUUACUUUAAAUUAUAAAGCGCAGAACACUAAGGGGAGGCAAGUCGUAA
rnacentral:rRNA from 1 species